rnacentral:misc_RNA from 1 species
GUAUCUUAAGCUUUGCUUAGUGUUGGGUGAUUGUCUGCAUGUAGUGCAGACUCGCCUUGAAUCUAUUGGCCGCCGAUAGUCUAGUAUGCGAGCGCAGCACAUUUGCGCACCGUACCCGUCUUAUUAGCCACCAUCAAGUACAAUAUCAAC